rnacentral:rRNA from 1 species
GACGAACGCUGGCGGCGUGCCUAAUACAUGCAAGUAGGACGCAGUUGCGAACGGUUGAGUAACGCGUAGGUAACUACCUAUUAGAGGGGGAUAACUAUUGGCAACGAUAGCUAAUACCGCAUACUAGUAGAUGGACCUGCGUUGUAUUAGCUAGUAGGUAGGGUAAUGGCCUACCUAGGCAACGAUACAUAGCCGACCGGGGAGGGUGGUCGGCCCAAAUGGGAAUGGGAAACGGCUCAGAAUCCUAAGGGAGGCAGCAGUAGGGGAUCUUCGGAAAUGGGGGGAAACCUGACCGAGCAACGCCGCGGGAGUGAAGAAGGUUUUCGGAUCGUAAAGCUCUGUUGUUAAGGAAGCGGUACUUAACCAGAAAGGGACGGCUAACUACGUGCCAGCAGCCGCGGUAAUAC